rnacentral:rRNA from 1 species
UGGGGAAUUUUGGACAAUGGGCGAAAGCCUGAUCCAGCCAUGCCGCGUGAGUGAAGAAGGCCUUCGGGUUGUAAAGCUCUUUUAGUCGGAAAGAAAGAGUUGCAAUGAAUAAUUGUGAUUUAUGACGGUACCGACAGAAAAAGCACCGGCUAACUACGUGCCAGCAGCCGCGGUAAUACGUAGGGUGCGAGCGUUAAUCGGAAUUACUGGGCGUAAAGGGUGCGCAGGCGGUCUUGCAAGUCAGAUGUGAAAGCCCCGGGCUUAACCUGGGAAUUGCGUGUGAAACUACAAGGCUAGAGUGCAGCAGAGGGGAGUGGAAUUCCAUGUGUAGCAGUGAAAUGCGUAGAGAUGUGGAAGAACACCGAUGGCGAAGGCAGCUCCCUGGGUUGACACUGACGCUCAUGCACGAAAGCGUGGGGAGCAAACA